GUCGAUGCUGGGGGAGUCACCUUUCUGGGACUUGGGGGCAGCUUUCAAGCAGUCUCUGGGAAGAUGGACAGAAGUCAGUCAGCGUCUACAUCAUGGUGGUCCUGGGUUGUGCAAGCAAGACCAACCAAACAGAGCAAACAAGGAAGCUACAAUGGCCUUUACUUCAGUUCCUGCCUUGACUUCCCUCAGUAUCUGGACCACUACCUGGAAGUGUAAGAUGAAAUAAACCCUUUCCUCCCAGUU